rnacentral:rRNA from 1 species
GGAGGAAAAGAAACCAACAGGGAUUGCCCCAGUAACGGCGAGUGAAGCGGCAACAGCUCAAAUUUGAAAUCUGGCCCCUCAAGGUCCGAGUUGUAAUUUGUAGAGGAUGCUUUUGGUGAGGUGCCGCCCGAGUUCCCUGGAACGGGACGCCGCAGAGGGUGAGAGCCCCGUCUGGCUGGCCGCCGAACCUAUGUAAAGCUCCUUCGACGAGUCGAGUAGUUUGGGAAUGCUGCUCAAAAUGGGAGGUAUAUGUCUUCUAAAGCUAAAUAUUGGCCAGAGACCGAUAGCGCACAAGUAGAGUGAUCGAAAGAUGAAAAGCACCUUGAAAAGAGGGUUAAAUAGUACGUGAAAUUGUUGAAAGGGAAGCGCUUGUGACCAGACUUGGGCGCGGCGGAUCAUCCGGGGUUCUCCCCGGUGCACUUCGCCGUGUCCAGGCCAGCAUCAGUUCGUCGCGGGGGAAAAAGGCUUCGGGAACGUGGCUCCUCCGGGAGUGUUAUAGCCCGUUGCACAAUACCCUGCGGUGGACUGAGGACCGCGCUUCGGCAAGGAUGCUGGCGUAAUGGUCACCAGCGACCCGUCUU